rnacentral:tRNA from 2 species
UCUCAUGUCGGCUCAGUCGGUAGAGCAUUGGACUUUUAAUCCAAGGGUCCAGGGUUCAAGUCCCUGCUCGGGCG